AAGGGGCCAAAGAUGUUAAAAUCGAAACUUAUGUUGCUAAUUUAAUUAAAACAAAAACCAAACACCCCAUUUGGGGAUGUCUGGUCGUACAAAGAAGCAGGAGGCGAUGGGUUUCUUCAAACCCUAAAAUCCUUACUAAAACUCUCAAAUUGGAGGUGCAAAUCUGGUCCAAAACGAAAAUCGAGCAUAGAUUACUGAUCCCCAUUGCAAGGGGGUUGUAAGUUUGACUCUUGACAAGCUAGAUGGAGGCUUGGAAUGAAGCGGGUCAAACGGAGCAAGUACGAAAAGGAAAGCGUAAUUUGGAUGCGAGUCUUAGGUACUCAAGGAUUAUGGGUGACGAUCAAGCAACUUUUGAAGGACCGAACACAUACUCUUGAAGCUUCCGCAUAAAUCAACUCGGUUUAAACAAUGUUUAUGAUGUAAACUGUUUGCUAAACAACUUUUGAAAUGUUUAAACGACGUACUCAAUUAUGUUAUGUUGUAUUAUUUUAAAAUUGUAAAGUUUAAACAAACCCGUAUUUUUACAAAGUACAUGUAGUCAUAAUUACAUGUUGUUUGUCGUAUA